rnacentral:rRNA from 1 species
GUGCCAGCAGCCGCGGUAAUACGGAGGGUGCGAGCGUUGUCCGGAAUCACUGGGCGUAAAGGGCGCGUAGGUGGCUUGGCAAGCGUGUGGUGAAAGCCCGGGGCUCAACCCCGGGUCUGCCGUGCGAACUGCUAUGGCUUGAGCACUGUAGAGGCAGGUAGAAUUCCGGGUGUAGCGGUGGAAUGCGUAGAGAUCCGGAAGAAUACCGGUGGCGAAGGCGGCCUGCUGGGCAGUGGCUGACACUGAGGCGCGACAGCGUGGGGAGCAAACAGGAUUAGAAACCCCCGUAGUCC